rnacentral:rRNA from 1 species
UGCCAGCAGCCGCGGUAAGACGAACCGUACGAACGUUAUUCGGAAUUACUGGGCUUAAAGGGUGCGUAGGCUGCACGGAAAGUUGGGUGUGAAAGCCCUCAGCUCAACUGAGGAAUUGCAUCCAAAACUGCCGUGCUUGAGGGAGACAGAGGUGAGCGGAACUCAAGGUGGAGCGGUGAAAUGCGUUGAUAUCUUGAGGAACACCGGUGGCGAAAGCGGCUCACUGGGUCGAUACUGACGCUGAGGUACGAAAGUGUGGGGAUCAAACAGGAUUAGAUA